rnacentral:rRNA from 1 species
UACGGAGGGGGCUAGCGUUGUUCGGAAUUACUGGGCGUAAAGCGCGCGUAGGCGGACCUGAAGUCAGGGGUGAAAUCCCGGGGCUCAACCCCGGAACGGCCUUUGAUACUGGAUGUCUUGAGUCCGGAAGAGGUGAGUGGAAUUGCGAGUGUAGAGGUGAAUUCGUAGAUAUUCGCAGGAACACCAGUGGCGAAGGCGGCUCACUGGUCCGGAACUGACGCUGAGGUGCGAAAGCGUGGGGAGCAAACAGG